rnacentral:tRNA from 1 species
GCCCAGGUGGCGAAAUCGGUAGACGCAGGAGACUCAAAAUCUCCCGCCGCAAGGUGUGCCGGUUCGAGUCCGGCCCUGGGCACCA